CACGUAGGAGGCAAACGUUAUCCGGAUUUACUGGGCGUGAAGCGCGUGUAGGUGGUUCUGUAAGUAGGGCGUGAAAGCUCCCGGCUCAACUGGGAGAGGCCGUUCUAAACUGCAGAGCUAGAGGAUGGUAGAGGGAGGUGGAAUUCCAGGUGUAGCGGUGGAAUGCGUAGAUAUCAGGAGGAACUCCGGUGGCGAAGGCGACUUCCUGGCACAAGACUGACGCUCAUGUGCGAAAGCUAGGGUAGCGAACGGGAUUAGAUACCCCGGUAGUCCCU
rnacentral:rRNA from 1 species